rnacentral:lncRNA from 1 species
GGCAGGUUUUGGUAAUGAGGCUACUCACCUCUUUAGAACGAAGGGAGUAGGAUGGCCCCAACUCACGCCUCAGAGAAGCCUGUGAGCCACUCAGCCCCUUACUGGUUCAGCCCACACAGAGGAACUGCCCCAGGUUUAUGGUGAUGAUACAGAUCUCAGAAGCUUGCCGAGGCGGACAGACCCCACUGGGAUGAUGCUCAUCAACGGAUUCCAGCUCCACCCCCCAGCUACCAGGGAACAGCCAGCUCCUGGGGAUCUGUCAAGUGGCUUUGACCAACUGACCAGUGGAUGAGGAGGCAAGCUGCAGGAGAGGUCCCACUGGAUUCAAAUCCAGAGGAAUAAAGCACACAACAUGCC